rnacentral:tRNA from 1 species
GGGGGUAUCUUCCAACGGCAGGAUAGCGGUCUCCAAAACCGCCAAUCUAGGUUCAAAUCCUAGUACCC